AUGGCUGUGUCAUGGCUGUGUCAUGGCUGUCCUGCCCCUCUGCCCCUGCUCGGAGGGUGUUUUUGGAAGUGCUCCCUGUCCCUGAGCAGCACCGUGUGUUUCCCAUCCUGCAGCCAAGACCAGCCUCGCUCCUGCUGCUCCGUGUUAUUUUCAUCCCGCCCUAAUCGGAGGGGACAGGGAGCGGCGUGGGCAGAGGAAUCCGUGGCUUGGCGGUGUUGCUCGCACAGCCAGCGGGCUGGAGUUCGCCAGCUCCUGCCAAACUUUGGAACGUGUCCAUGGGGCCAGAGGAGGGUGUUUCAUAAAAAUGCAGCCACGGACCUGGCAGGAAGCAAUAAGCUUCAGCUUCCUCUGCAUGAACCAAAGGGAUUUCUGCCUCCCUCCUGGCAAGGAUGGAGUUGUGCUAAUGCAAGAUUAAUGCUCUGCAAUCCUGACCCUGC
rnacentral:lncRNA from 1 species